rnacentral:rRNA from 1 species
UACGAGGGGUGCAAGCGUUAUUCGGAGUGAUUGGGUGUAAAGGGUGCGUAGGCGGUAUGUUUAGUCAAUUGUUAAAUUUCCCAGCCUAACUGGGAAUCAGCAGUUGAUACUGGCGUGCUAGAGGGUGGAAGAGAGAAGUGGAAUUCUCGGAGUAGCGGUAAAAUGCGUAGAUCUCGAGAGGAACACCAAUGGCGAAGGCAGCUUCUUGGUCCAUUCCUGACGCUGAGGCACGAAAGCAUGGGGAGCAAACAGG